UUUAACUCUAACUCUGUUUUCUGUGAGACUUCCUGAGACUCUCCUCAUGCUGUCAGUUCAUUUCUUGCACUCUGUUGCCCCCUAGUGAGACAACACACUCAUUCAUAUUCAAUAAGAAGGUUGUGGGAGGAGAAUUACCACAAACCAGCAACCGAAUCUUCCCUGAAGCUGAUCAAUCUGUCAGGUCUGCAGGAGCUGAGCUGCUGAACCGUCAGACAGAUUCCUCCGGUUUCAUGGUGCUUCACCAACGUGAUGGUUGCUACGGAGACACUGAUGCAUUUAUUAGCUGGCAGCUGGGACUAAUCCGUCUCCGGUGUUUCGUCAGCCCAGAUCAAAGCAGCUGCUGGUCUCAGGACUGUGUUACAACAUCUGUAUUCUCCUGGAAAGUAGGACGUCUUCACUCGCACACAGCACACACGUAUAUAUCUCCUGUGUAUUCAUACUGUCUGUAACAGUUACACGACAACCAUUUAUUAAAAAAACAGGAGGAACAAAGAGAUUUUUUGGUUUGAAAAUAAUCGGUUUCUGUUCCUCGACAUAUAAACAGCUCAUUUCCCUGCAUUCAAAACAAAACACGGACCUUACAGAUUGCAGAACUUUUCAGCAAACAACCAAAACUAUCAGCAAUUUUAUUCUCACUGCAACAAAAUGACUUUGUUUUUUAAUGAAUAUUAUAAAAAACAAUCACUAACAAAAUAUUUUUGCAAUUUUUCAUUUUCUCUGACAAAUGAAUUGUAAAAAUUGCCUAAAAGAUCUCAACAUGCAGCACAAUUGUUUUUAGAAAAGCUGCUGUGAAAUCCUGGAUGGACUAUAAAGCCUCGCCUCACGCUCCCCUUCAAGACGUGUGGGAGAAACUACGGUGGCUGUGCAAAUAAAACAUGAAUUGCCUCUAUCUAGAGCCAGUGUUUGGUUUGUCUGUUCUGGGCUACUGUAGAAACAUGGUGGUUCAACAUGGUGGACUCCACCAGAAGAGUAUCUUCAGUAUCUUGCUCAAGGAUACUUCGACAUGUGGCAGGAGGAGCCGGGGAUCGAACCACACAACCUUCCAAUUAGUGGACGACCCACUCUGCCUCUGAACCACAGCCGCCCAAAAAUGUAAUAUUAUUAUUACUUAAUGUAAAUAAGUAUAUGGCCAAAAGUAUGUGGACACCCCUGCAGUUAAAGCUACGUUUGUAAAAUCAGAAUUAGAAAACAAACCUUACCUUGUGAACAAGUAUUAAAAAACCAAAACCUUC